GACUGUUUUGAAUGUAACACACUGGAGCGGACAGAGGGAAGGACAGACGGAGCCGACUACACACCGCAGCGCCUGAAAGACGACCGCUCAAUCACUGGUCAAACCACAACAAGUCACAAACACGAUAAUAAACAAUAAAUAAUGAUUGCAAAUAUGUAAUGUGCAAAAAUGCUUUGUGCAAAUCCUGCUAAUAAAGUGCCAAUACUGUUA